rnacentral:rRNA from 1 species
GAUGAACGCUGGCGGCGUGCCUAAUACAUGCAAGUCGAGCGAACGGACGAGAAGCUUGCUUCUCUGAUGUUAGCGGCGGACGGGUGAGUAACACGUGGAUAACCUACCUAUAAGACUGGGAUAACUUCGGGAAACCGGAGCUAAUAGCGGAGAAUAUUUUGAACCGCAUGGUUCAAAAGUGAAAGACGGUCUUGCUGUCACUUAUAGAUGGAUCCGCGCUGCAUUAGCUAGUUGGUAAGGUAACGGCUUACCAAGGCAACGAUGCAUAGCCGACCUGAGAGGGUGAUCGGCCACACUGGAACUGAGACACGGUCCAGACUCCUACGGGAGGCAGCAGUAGGGAAUCUUCCGCAAUGGGCGAAAGCCUGACGGAGCAACGCCGCGUGAGUGAUGAAGGUCUUCGGAUCGUAAAACUCUGUUAUUAGGGAAGAACAUAUGUGUAAGUAACUGUGCACAUCUUGACGGUACCUAAUCAGAAAGCCACGGCUAACUACGUG